UUGAACGCUGGCGGCAUGCUAACACAUGCAAGUCGAACGGAAACGAUGGGAGCUUGCUCCCAGGCGUCGAGUGGCGGACGGGUGAGUAACGCGUGAGAAUCUGCCUAGCAGUUGGGGAUAACCCGGGGAAACUCGAGCUAAUACCGAAUACGUUCUACGGAAGAAAGGGGGCCUCUUCUUGAAAGCUCUCGCUGCUAGAUGAGCUUGCGUCGGAUUAGCUAGUUGGUGGGGUAAAGGCCUACCAAGGCGACGAUCCGUAGCUGGUCUGAGAGGAUGAUCAGCCACAUCGGGACUGAGACACGGCCCGAACUCCUACGGGAGGCAGCAGUGGGGAAUAUUGGACAAUGGGGGCAACCCUGAUCCAGCAAUGCCGCGUGUGUGAAGAAGGCCUGCGGGUUGUAAAGCACUUUCAGUAGUGAGGAAAAGCAGUUGGCUAAUAUCUGACUGUCUUGACAUUAGCUACAGAAGAAGCACCGGCUAACUCCGUGCCAGCAGCCGCGGUAAUACGGAGGGUGCAAGCGUUAAUCGGAAUUACUGGGCGUAAAGCGUGCGUAGGCGGCUUGGUAAGUCGGUUGUGAAAGCCCCGGGCUUAACCUGGGAAUUGCAUCCGAUACUGUCAAGCUAGAGUGUGGCAGAGGAUAGUGGAAUUUCCGGUGUAGCGGUGAAAUGCGUAGAUAUCGGGAGGAACACCAGUGGCGAAGGCGACUGUCUGGGCUAACACUGACGCUGAGGUACGAAAGCGUGGGUAGCAAACAGGAUUAGAUACCCUGGUAGUCCACGCCCUAAACGUUGAGAACUAGACGUUGGGUCCAUCUUGGGACUUGGUGUCGAAGCUUACCCAAUAAGUUUCCCCCUCGGGAUACAGCCGCAAGGGUGAACCUCUAAGGUAUUUAUCGGGGGGCCGCACAAACCGUGGAACAAGUGGCUUAAAUCGAUGCAACGCGGAGGACCUUUACCCGCCCCGUGACAUCCUCCGAACCUGGUAGAGAUACCCUGGUGCCCUUCCGGAAACCAUGUUACAAGGUGCUUCAUGGCUCUUUGUCAGCCUCCUCUUCGUGAGAUUUUUGGGUUAAAUUCCCGCCAACGAGCGCAACCCCUGUCACCAGUUUGCUAGCAGUUUCGUCUGAGAUCUCUAGGGAGACUGCCGGUGAUANACCGGAGGAAGGUGGGGACGACGUCAAGUCAUCAUGGCCCUUAUGGGCAGGGCUACACACGUGCUACAAUGGUCGGUA
rnacentral:rRNA from 1 species